ensembl:lincRNA Gm10419 predicted gene 10419
GGGACCAAGGGUAGCUGCAGUCUAUCUAUCUGCAGUCCAGUGACCUGGAGGGUCAGAGGCAGGAAGGAGAGAGAGCAACUCCAGAAAGAACCACACCAGCAAGGAAUAGCUCUGCUACUUUUCCAGAAAAUCACAUCAUCAGCAACUGACCAAGUUCCUACAGAGCCGGGGCAGAGAAUCAGAGAGAUGAUUGAUUCUCCAUGCCUGGCCUCUUUUGUUCCACGUAUGUUUGUGAAGUGUGUCCAUGACGCUGUACACAGCGAUAGCUCACUCAUUGCUGAUAAUGAAGCCCAGCAGCUUACCCAUUUCACUGCAGUAAACAACAUAUUGCUUCUUGUUUGUGUGUCCUGAAUCACGGAGACAUGCACUGUACACUUCCAUGAGUUUGGACAGUUGUCUACAUUUAUACAAACGACCACCUCUGGACUCACUGCUGUUCCAGCUUCUGCAAAUGCUAAGCUCAGCGUUUCCCCACACCAAGUCCGUGUGCUAAAGGUUUUAUUACAGUAUUUCCUAUGCAUGGUUGCAUGCAGUGGACAAUCUUGUCUGCCUGGUUUCAGUGCCUUUCAGACUUGUCCAAACUCUUGCAAGAAUCGAUUGAAUGUACUUAUUGCUGAAUAGAAUUCUAGUAAAAAGUGUUUCUCCAUUCACGA